rnacentral:rRNA from 1 species
GACGACGCUGGCGGCGUGCUUAACACAUGCAAGUCGAACGAGUGGCGAACGGGUGAGUAAUUUCUGGGAAACUGCCUGAUGGAGCGGGAUAACUCCGGGAAAAGGUGGCUAAUAACGCAUACCAUCAUAUGUGUCCAGAUGUGAUUAGCUAGUAGGUGGGGUAAAGGCUCACCUAGGCGACGAUCCCUAGCUGGCCUGAGAGGAUGACCAGCCACACUGGAACUGAGACACGGCCCAGACUCCUACGGGAGGCAGCAGUGGGGAAUAUUGCGCAAUGGGCGCAAGCCUGAUGAAGCCAGGCCGCGUGAUUGAAGAAGGCCUUCGGGUUGUAAAGCACUGUCAGCGAGGAGGCGUUACUCGCACAGGAAGCACCGGCUAACUCCGUGCCAGCAGCCGCGGUAAUUC